AUUGAACGCUGGCGGAAUGCUUUACACAUGCAAGUCGAACGGCAGCACGGACUUCGGUCUGGUGGCGAGUGGCGAACGGGUGAGUAAUGUAUCGGAACGUGCCCGGUCGUGGGGGAUAACGUAGUGAAAAUUACGCUAAUACCGCAUACGAUCUAUGGAUGAAAGCGGGGGAUCGCAAGACCUCGCGCGAUUGGAGCGGCCGAUAUCAGAUUAGGUAGUUGGUGGGGCAAAGGCCCACCAAGCCAACGAUCUGUAGCUGGUCUGAGAGGAGGACCAGCCACGCUGGCACUGGGACACGGUCCAGACUCCUACGGGAGGCAGCAGUGGGAAUUUUGGACAAUGGGCGAAAGCCUGAUCCAGCCAUUCCGCGUGCAGGAUGAAGGCCCUCGGGUUGUAAACUGCUUUUGUACAGAACGAAAAGGUUUCUACUAAUACUAGGAGCUCAUGACGGUACUGUAAGAAUAAGCACCGGCUAACUACGUGCCAGCCGCCGCCGUAA
rnacentral:rRNA from 1 species